rnacentral:rRNA from 1 species
AGCGAGCCCUGAGAUGAGUCUUCCCUGGCACUUUAAGUGUCCUAAAGGGUUGUUCAAGACUAGAACGUUGAUAGGUUGGGUGUGUAAGCGCUGCGAGGCGUUGAGCUAACCAAUACUAAUUGCCCGUGAGGCUUAACCAU